rnacentral:rRNA from 1 species
GACGAACGCUGGCGGCGUGCUUAACACAUGCAAGUCGAACGGAAAGGCCCCUUUUGGGGUACUCGAGUGGCGCACGGGUGAGUAACACGUGAGUAACCUGCCCUUGACUUCGGGAUAACUUCAGGAAACUGGGGCUAAUACCGGCUAGGAAUCCUUGCUGCAUGGUGGGGGUUGGAAAGCUUCGGCGGUUUUGGAUGGACUCGCGGCUGAUCAGCUUGUUGGUGGGGUAGUGGCUUACCAAGGCUUUGACGGGUAGCCGGCCUGAGAGGGCGACCGGCCACAUUGGGACUGAGAUACGGCCCAGACUCCUACGGGAGGCAGAAGUGGGGAAUAGUGCACAAUGGGCGGAAGCCUGAUGCAGCAACGCCGCGUGCGGGAUGACGGCCUUCGGGUUGUAAACCGCUUUCAGCAGGGGCGAAGCUUGUGGUGACGGUACCUGCAGAAGAAGCACCGGCUAACUACGUG